GGGGUUGUGGCUCAGUGGUAGAGCACUCACCUAGCAUGUAAUGAGACACUGGGUUUGAUCCCCAGCAACACAU
rfam:Ictidomys tridecemlineatus contig007782, whole genome shotgun sequence.